UACGUAGGGCGCAAGCGUUAUCCGGAAUUAUUGGGCGUAAAGAGCUCGUAGGCGGUUUGUCGCGUCUGCUGUGAAAGACCGGGGGCUCAACUCCGGUUCUGCAGUGGGUACGGGCAGACUAGAGUGCAGUAGGGGAGACUGGAAUUCCUGGUGUAGCGGUGAAAUGCGCAGAUAUCAGGAGGAACACCGAUGGCGAAGGCAGGUCUCUGGGCUGUAACUGACGCUGAGGAGCGAAAGCAUGGGGAGCGAACAGG
rnacentral:rRNA from 1 species